rnacentral:rRNA from 1 species
UUUUGGACAAUGGGGGAAACCCUGAUCCAGCCAUGCCGCGUGAGUGAAGAAGGCCUUCGGGUUGUAAAGCUCUUUCGGUGAAGACGAAACGGUUAGUGCUAAUAACACUGACUAAUGACGGUACUCACAGAAGAAGCACCGGCUAACUACGUGCCAGCAGCCGCGGUAAUACGUAGGGUGCAGGCGUUAAUCGGAAUUACUGGGCGUAAAGCGUGCGCAGGCGGUUUGCUAAGACAGGUGUGAAAUCCCCGGGCUUAACCUGGGAAUUGCGCUUGUAACUGGCAAGCUAGAGUGUGGCAGAGGGGGGUGGAAUUCCACGUGUAGCAGUGAAAUGCGUAGAUAUGUGGAGGAACACCGAUGGCGAAGGCAGCCCCCUGGAGUUUUCACUGACGCUCAUGCACGAAG